rnacentral:rRNA from 1 species
UUCUUUAUCACCGAGUGCUUGCACUCACCGAUAAAGAGUUGAGUGGCGAACGGGUGAGUAACACGUGGGCAACCUGCCCAAAAGAGGGGGAUAACACUUGGAAACAGGUGCUAAUACCGCAUAACCAUAGUUACCGCAUGGUAACUAUGUAAAAGGUGGCUAUGCUACCGCUUUUGGAUGGGCCCGCGGCGCAUUAGCUAGUUGGUGGGGUAAAGGCUUACCAAGGCAAUGAUGCGUAGCCGAACUGAGAGGUUGAUCGGCCACAUUGGGACUGAGACACGGCCCAAACUCCUACGGGAGGCAGCAGUAGGGAAUCUUCCACAAUGGGCGAAAGCCUGAUGGAGCAACGCCGCGUGGGUGAAGAAGGUCUUCGGAUCGUAAAACCCUGUUGUUAGAGAAGAAAGUGCGUGAGAGUAACUGUUCACGUUUCGACGGUAUCUAACCAGAAAGCCACGGCUAACUACGUGCCAGCAGCCGCGGUAAUACGUAGGUGGCAAGCGUUAUCCGGAUUUAUUGGGCGUAAAGGGAACGCAGGCGGUCUUUUAAGUCUGAUGUGAAAGCCUUCGGCUUAACCGGAGUAGUGCAUUGGAAACUGGGAGACUUGAGUGCAGAAGAGGAGAGUGGAACUCCAUGUGUAGCGGUGAAAUGCGUAGAUAUAUGGAAGAACACCAGUGGCGAAAGCGGCUCUCUGGUCUGUAACUGACGCUGAGGUUCGAAAGCGUGGGUAGCAAACAAGAUUAGAUACCCUGGUAGUCCACGCC